GGCAUAUCUCAGUGGCAGAACAGCUGCUUUGCAUGCAGAUGGUCCCAUGUUCAAUCCCUGGCCUGACAUAUCCA